rnacentral:rRNA from 1 species
CCUACGGGUGGCAGCAGUGAGGAAUAUUGGGCAAUGGGAGAGAUCCUGAACCAGCCAAGCCGCGUGAGGGAAGACGGCCCUAUGGGUUGUAAACCUCUUUUGUCGGAGAACAAAACCCGGGACGUGUCCCGGACUGCGUGUAUCCGAAGAAAAAGCAUCGGCUAACUCCGUGCCAGCAGCCGCGGUAAUACGGAGGAUGCGAGCGUAAUCCGGAUUUAUUGGGUUAAAGGGGUGCGUAGGCGGUCCGUUAGGUCAGAGGUAAAAUUGCGGGGCUCAACCCCGGAGCGCCGCUGAAACUGGCAGACUUGAGUGGGGGAGAAGUACGCGGAAUGCGCGGUGUAGCGGUGAAAUGCAUAGAUAUCGGGAAGAACUCCGAUUGCGAAGGCAGGGUACUGGCGCCAGACUGACGCUGAGGCACGAAAGCGUGGGGAUCGAACAGGAUUAGAUACCCUGGUAGUC